GACGAACGCUGGCGGCGUGCCUAAUACAUGCAAGUAGGACGCAGUUGCGAACGGGUGAGUAACGCGUAGGUAACUGCCUAUUAGAGGGGGAUAACUAUUGGAAACGAUAGCUAAUACCGCAUACUAGUAGAUGGACCUGCGUUGUAUUAGCUAGUAGGUAGGGUAAUGGCCUACCUAGGCAACGAUACAUAGCCUACCUGGGAGGGGGAUCCGCCACACUGGGACGUAGACACGGCCCAGACGCCUACGGGAGGCAGCAGUAGGGAAUCUUCGGAAAUGGGGGGAACCCCGAACAGGCAACGCCGCGUGAGUGAAGAAGGUUUUCGGAUCGUAAAGCUCUGUUGUUAAGGGAGCGGUACUUAACCAGAAAGGGACGGCUAACUACGUGCCAGCAGCCGCGGUAAUUC
rnacentral:rRNA from 1 species